rnacentral:rRNA from 1 species
CAGCCGCCGCGGUAAUACGAAGGGGGCUAGCGUUGCUCGGAAUUACUGGGCGUAAAGGGAGCGUAGGCGGACAUUUAAGUCAGGGGUGAAAUCCCAGAGCUCAACUCUGGAACUGCCUUUGAUACUGGGUGUCUUGAGUGUGAUAGAGGUAUGUGGAACUCCGAGUGUAGAGGUGAAAUUCGUAGAUAUUCGGAAGAACACCAGUGGCGAAGGCGACAUACUGGAUCAUUACUGACGCUGAGGCUCGAAAGCGUGGGGAGCAAACAGGAUUAGAUACCCCUGUAGUCCCUGUCUCUUAUAC